rnacentral:rRNA from 1 species
UACGGAAGGUGCGAGCGUUAAUCGGAAUUACUGGGCGUAAAGCGUGCGCAGGCGGCUUCCUAAGUCAGAUGUGAAAUCCCCGGGCUUAACCUGGGAACUGCGUUUGAAACUGGGAGGCUAGAGUGCGGCAGAGGGGGGUGGAAUUCCACGUGUAGCAGUGAAAUGCGUAGAUAUGUGGAGGAACACCGAUGGCGAAGGCAGCCCCCUGGGCCAGCACUGACGCUCAUGCACGAAAGCGUGGGGAGCAAACAGG